GGCGACGUCGCCAAGUGGUAAGGCAGAAGUCUGCAAAACUUCCAUUCACCAGUUCGAAUCUGGUCGUCGCCUCCA
rnacentral:tRNA from 1 species